GGAACUGCGAUACGUAGAGGUGUGAAUGCGAGGAAGCGCUUUCGGGAUGAGGGCCAAUCAACACGAGUACCAUCUGAAAAGUGGACCUCCCGGAUAAGGGUUAAUCGGAUGAGAAUUAAUUCGUCGCCGCGGUAUCGUGUCUUCGCGACCGUGACUUCGCGAAGCCUGAGAAAGACAGCCGGAUUGCCGCCGACGUUAUCCCUUGGGGAGAGAGUGUAUCGCGCGCGUGCGUGUGCGUUCGCGUUAAGGUGCGAGCAGUCCCUUUCGAAAGUUAAAAGGUAAAAGCGAAGAGAGUGUGUGUUUGUGCGAAUGCUGGCUUCCCUACUUAACGUCACCACUGUCGUACAACGUACACUAGCUACAAUCACGUGCGGGAGUCGCUUGAGUGAGAGAAGAACCUCGUAGGAAGAACUCCUGCGAGUAAACAUUUACUACCCUUUUCGACGUGAAAACGACGAAGUGAUUUGGUGCAUACCCUACACACACGCAAUACGCAUUGCCCUCGCGCUCUACGGACGGAGGGGAAAGCCCUCCCGGUCUCCCUCCCCCGCCCCGUGCUUCUCGCGUCGCGAACGUGCGUGAUACAGGAAAUAUACGAACGCGACAUCCGCGAGACAGCCUUCUCCGGCGCGCCCGCGCUGAUGAUCCUUCGGAGGGAGAAACGAAAAAGCGGUGCGACCCCGUGCAUGGUCAAACGUAUUAACGCACAAAACGCACAUGCUCCGCGUGAGCGUUCAAUCAAGCGAGAACAAAAAAAAAUAAAAGUUACGUUAAAUAGGCACAUAUAUGUAUAUGUAUAUAUAUUACAAUUGUUCUUUAUUACCUAAAAUAUAUGCACUUUGAAAAUAUCGUCGAAAGACUUAGAAAGGCAGGCAAGGGGCAAAACGACAUUCGGGAGCCAAUGAUUGGAGGGGGUGCGAACAAAAAGUUUCUUUUUUUUUUUAUCCAGGGACAAGGACGCCGGCGAUCCUACUGAGCAGAUCACGAUGAUACAAAGAAUGAGCAGGUUUCGUCGUCGAAUUGUAUCGCCGGUCGCAUUUGAUUAACAGAACGAGUGCUCUAGCAAAUCUCGAAAUAACAAUGGCGAUCAGUCCCAAAAAUCAAUUUCGAUCGGCUUGUACAAUAGGUUUCUUUUUUUUUCCACUUUUCAGGUGAAUUUACACGAAGAUCCUGACGGGAUAAUCGCGAUAACAACAACAUGUGCGACGAAACAAAAUGACUUAUAAACCAUCUUGGCCAAAUCAUUGCUGUAUUCGCACAUAUUCAUAUUAUAGCUCUAUCUAUAGUACAUAAAACAAUAACACUAAAAAUCAUUUAAUUCGAGUAAUUCUAUUUUUAAUUAAUAUGAUUUUUCUUGUAUAUAUAGUAAAUUAUUGUAUUUAAACGCACGCUUACGCCUAGCUGCAUAUGAUUUUUUCUUAUUUGUGAUUUCUUCUUUUUCUUCUUUAAUAAUAUAUAUAAUAUAAUAAUAUACUAUGUCGCAUAUAAAAAACAAUUACUUAAUAUAGAGUACAAGAUCGUUCCUUAGUUAAGUUUACAGAUUUUUUGUUUUUCGCAACUAUUUAUAUAAACGUAAGACGUCAUCCAUCUCUAAAAUGAACAUGCUUCCGCCGCUCCCAGAAUAAUAUACGAAAAUCAAGAUACAAGAGAAAAAUCUUCGCGCCGAUUCGUCAAAAUAUCAAGGAAGAGAA